CCUACGGGAGGCAGCAGUGGGGAAUAUUGCACAAUGGGGGAAACCCUGAUGCAGCAACGCCGCGUGAAGGAAGACGGUUUUCGGAUUGUAAACUUCUGUUCUUAGUGAAGAAUAAUGACGGUAGCUAAGGAGCAAGCCACGGCUAACUACGUGCCAGCAGCCGCGGUAAUACGUAGGUGGCAAGCGUUGUCCGGAAUUACUGGGUGUAAAGGGAGCGUAGGCGGGAUGCCAAGUCAGCUGUGAAAACUAUGGGCUUAACCUGUAGACUGCAGUUGAAACUGGUAUUCUUGAGUGAAGUAGAGGUUGGCGGAAUUCCGAGUGUAGCGGUGAAAUGCGUAGAUAUUCGGAGGAACACCGGUGGCGAAGGCGGCCAACUGGGCUUUAACUGACGCUGAGGCUCGAAAGUGUGGGGAGCAAACAGGAUUAGAUACCCUGGUAGUCCACACUGUAAACGAUGAUAACUAGGUGUGGGGGGUCUGACCCCUUCCGUGCCGCAGCUAACGCAAUAAGUUAUCCACCUGGGGAGUACGACCGCAAGGUUGAAACUCAAAGGAAUUGACGGGGACCCGCACAAGCAGUGGAUUAUGUGGUUUAAUUCGAAGCAACGCGAAGAACCUUACCAGGGCUUGACAUCCAACUAACGAAGCAGAGAUGCAUUAGGUGCCCUUCGGGGAAAGUUGAGACAGGUGGUGCAUGGUUGUCGUCAGCUCGUGUCGUGAGAUGUUGGGGUAUUCACUUUUGAAAAGACCCGGAAACUGUUCUUCCAGGUGAUCUCUUCUACCUCUUCCCGGGAUACUCCCUUGAUCUCGGCAAUUUUUUCCACUACAUACGGAAUAUUCAGCGAAGAAUUUCGCUUCCCGCGGUUCGGAACCGGUGCAAGGUACGGGCUGUCCGUCUCUAAGAGCAGAGAUUCCAGUGGAGCAUAUUCAACCACUUCCACCAGCUUCCUUGCAUUCUUAAAGGUCAGUACACCGCCGAUACCGAGGGAAAGCCCCAUAUCCAGGUACUCCCGUGCCAUUUCUUUUCCGUAGGAAAAACAGUGUACCACACCG
rnacentral:rRNA from 1 species